UACGGGGGGGGCAAGCGUUGUUCGGAAUUACUGGGCGUAAAGGGCUCGUAGGUGGCCAACUAAGUCAGACGUGAAAUCCCUCGGCUUAACCGGGGAACUGCGUCUGAUACUGGAUGGCUUGAGUUUGGGAGAGGGAUGCGGAAUUCCAGGUGUAGCGGUGAAAUGCGUAGAUAUCUGGAGGAACACCGGUGGCGAAGGCGGCAUCCUGGACCAACACUGACGCUGAGUGAGCGAAAGCCAGGGGAGUAAACGGG
rnacentral:rRNA from 1 species